rnacentral:misc_RNA from 1 species
GAUGAAGAACGUAGCGAAAUGCGAUAAGUAGUGUGAAUUGCAGAAUUCAGUGAAUCAUCGAAUCUUUGAACGCACAUUGCGCCUUUUGGUAUUCCAAAGGGCAUGCCUGUUCGAGCGUCAUUUGUACCCUCAAGCUUUGCUUGGUGUUGGGCGUCUUGUCUCUAGCUUUGCUGGAGACUCGCCUUAAAGUAAUUGGCAGCCGGCCUACUGGUUUCGGAGCGCAGCACAAGUCGCACUCUCUAUCAGCAAAGGUCUAGCAUCCAUUAAGCCUUUUUUUCAACUUUUGACCUCGGAUCAGGUAGGGAUACCCGCUGAACUUAAGCAUAUCAAUAAGCGGAGGA